rnacentral:miRNA from 1 species
UCUCUCUCUCUCUCUCUCUCUCUCUCUCUCUCUCUCUCUCUGUGUGUGUGUGUGUGUGUGUGUGUGAGACAGAGACAGAGAAAAGAGAGAGAGAGAGAGAGAGAGAGAGA